rnacentral:rRNA from 1 species
AACGAACGCUGGCGGCAUGCCUAACACAUGCAAGUCGAACGAGACCUUCGGGUCUAGUGGCGCACGGGUGCGUAACGCGUGGGAAUCUGCCCUUGGGUUCGGAAUAACUCGCCGAAAGGCGUGCUAAUACCGGAUGAUGUCGUAAGACCAAAGAUUUAUCGCCCAGGGAUGAGCCCGCGUAAGAUUAGGUAGUUGGUGAGGUAAAGGCUCACCAAGCCGACGAUCUUUAGCUGGUCUGAGAGGAUGAUCAGCCACAUCGGGACUGAGACACGGCCCGA